UUUAGCAGGGAAGAAGCGAAAGUGACGGUACCUGCAGAAAAAGCACCGGCUAACUACGUGCCAGCAGCCGCGGUAAUACGUAGGGUGCAAGCGUUAUCCGGAAUUAUUGGGCGUAAAGAGCUCGUAGGCGGUUUGUCGCGUCUGCUGUGAAAACCCGAGGCUCAACCUCGGGCCUGCAGUGGGUACGGGCAGACUAGAGUGCGGUAGGGGAGAUUGGAAUUCCUGGUGUAGCGGUGGAAUGCGCAGAUAUCAGGAGGAACACCGAUGGCGAAGGCAGAUCUCUGGGCCGUAACUGACGCUGAGGAGCGAAAGGGUGGGGAGCAAACAGGCUUAGAUACCCUGGUAGUCCACCCCGUAAACGUUGGGAACUAGUUGUGGGGUCCAUUCCACGGAUUCCGUGACGCAGCUAACGCAUUAAGUUCCCCGCCUGGGGAGUACGGCCGCAAGGCUAAAACUCAAAGGAAUUGACGGGGACCCGCACAAGCGGCGGAGCAUGCGGAUUAAUUCGAUGCAACGCGAAGAACCUUACCAAGGCUUGACAUAUACGAGAACGGGCCAGAAAUGGUCAACUCUUUGGACACUCGUAAACAGGUGGUGCAUGGUUGUCGUCAGCUCGUGUCGUGAGAUGUUGGGUUAAGUCCCGCAACGAGCGCAACCCUCGUUCUAUGUUGCCAGCACGUAAUGGUGGGAACUCAUGGGAUACUGCCGGGGUCAACUCGGAGGAAGGUGGGGAUGACGUCAAAUCAUCAUGCCCCUUAUGUCUUGGGCUUCACGCAUGCUACAAUGGCCGGUACAAUGGGCUGCAAUACCGUAAGGUGGAGCGAAUCCCAAAAAGCCGGUCCCAGUUCGGAUUGAGGUCUGCAACUCGACCUCAUGAAGUCGGAGUCGCUAGUAAUCGCAGAUCAGCAACGCUGCGGUGAAUACGUUCCCGGGUCUUGUACACACCGCCCGUCAAGUCAUGAAAGUCGGUAACACCUGAAGCC
rnacentral:rRNA from 1 species